rnacentral:tRNA from 1 species
GCGGAUAUGGUCGAAUGGUAAAAUAUCUCUUUGCCAAGGAGAGGUUCGAUUCCCGCUAUCCGCC